UGCGCUCCAAAUUUAAUCAUAUGGCACAGCUCUCUGGACCCAAAUCCCUCCUGGAGAGAUAUGGUCUCCAAGGAGCACUGUCAUUCCUAAGUUCACAAGCUCACAGGCUUACAUGAGGAACAGGAUCCAGUCACAGACAGCAAGAACAAUUUUAUCAGAGAUAACCAGAUGGUGAAAGACAAGCACAAGAACCUAAGCACUAGAAAUCAAGACUACUUGGCAUCAUCAGAACCCAGUUCUUCAACUAAAGCAAAUACUGGAUAUCCCAACACACUGGAAAAGCAAGAUUUGGACUUCAAACCACAUCUCAUGAUGAUGAUAGAGGAUUUUAAGAAGGACAUAAAUAAUUCCCUUAAAGAAAUACAGGACAACACAGGUAAACAGGUAGAAGCCCUUAAAGGGGAAACACGAAAAAAAAAAAAAAAAA
rnacentral:lncRNA from 1 species